AUUCAGCUCUGAUUCUGCUCUCAGUCACUUCACAUCUCUAUCAACAUGCUGCUCUCUAUCCUUUCUCUCCUAGCACUGGUGUCAGGAGAAACUUCAGCACAGACAAUUGCUGCACUUACAGAAGAAGUGCAUGUUUUAGAGGGUGAUAAUGUUACUCUCUCCUGCAACUACAGUACCACUACUGAUGCUCUUCAGUGGUAUCGUCAAUUUCCCAGAUCCAGACCAGAGUUUCUCCUGUACAUUUACCCUCAUGGGACUAAGAGUGAUCCUCUUCCUCCUCGUAUGUCUGCUGAAGUUAAAGAGAAUAAUCGUGUGGACCUGUUGAUCUCCUCUGCUGCAGUAUCAGACUCAGCACUCUACUACUGUUUGAACACAGUGACCAGUGAAGAAUAUGACAGUGCUUUCAAACUCAUUGACCACAUCCUGACAGUGGAGUGA